UGCCAGCCGCCGCGGUAAUACGGAGGGUGCGAGCGUUAAUCGGAAUCACUGGGCGUAAAGCGUACGUAGGUGGCAAAGUCAGUCAGGCGUGAAAGCCCUCGGCUCAACCGAGGAAUUGCAUUCGAUACUGCAUGGCUAGAGUGUGGCAGAGGAAAGCGGAGUUCCCGGUGUAGCGGUGAAAUGCGUAGAUAUCGGGAGGAACAUCAGUGGCGAAGGCGGCUUUCUGGGUUAACACUGACACUGAGGCGCGAAAGCGUGGGGAGCAAACAGGAUUAGAUA
rnacentral:rRNA from 1 species